rnacentral:rRNA from 1 species
UACGAAGGGUGCAAGCGUUAAUCGGAAUUACUGGGCGUAAAGCGCGCGUAGGUGGUUCGAGCAAGUUGGAUGUGAAAUCCCCGGGCUCAACCUGGGAACUGCAUCCAAAACUACUGAGCUAGAGUACGGUAGAGGGUGGUGGAAUUUCCUGUGUAGCGGUGAAAUGCGUAGAUAUAGGAAGGAACACCAGUGGCGAAGGCGACCACCUGGACUGAUACUGACACUGAGGUGCGAAAGCGUGGGGAGCAAACAGG